rnacentral:rRNA from 1 species
GAUGAACGCUAGCUCCAGGCUUAACACAUGCAAGUCGAGGGGAAACGAUGAGAGAGCUUGCUCUCUUAGUCGUCGACCGGCGCACGGGUGAGUAACGCGUAUCCAACCUGCCUCUGACCAAGGGAUAACCCGUCGAAAGUCGGACUAAUACCUUAUGCAGUCGUCGGAAGUCAUCUGAUGACGACGAAAGAUUUCAUCGGUGAGAGAUGGGGAUGCGUCUGAUUAGCUUGUUGGCGGGGUAACGGCCCACCAAGGCGACGAUCAGUAGGGGUUCUGAGAGGAAGGUCCCCCACAUUGGAACUGAGACACGGUCCAAAAUCCUACGGGAGGCAGCAGUGAGGAAUAUUGGUCAAUGGGCGUAAGCCUGAACCAGCCAAGUAGCGUGCAGGAUGACGGCCCUAUGGGUUGUAAACUGCUUUUAUGCGGGGAUAAAGUGAGGGACGUGUCCUUCAUUGCAGGUACCGAAUGAAUAAGGACCGGCUAAUUCCGUG